UCUGGGUGAACGGCGACUCCGACGUUUGAAGAAGUUGGAAGCGUCGGAUUCGUGCAUGAAGACCUGCCGCGCAGCGUCUAAAGGACUACUGUGAAGGUGUACUUACAGGUGAGGAUGAGGAGGGCAGAGAGCAGGACCAGGACGAGUCCUCGGGUCCAGGACAUUUUGAGGAAGAGGAGCAGACUCUGUGCAGGACUGAACAGAACCACAAUCCGACUCGAACUGAGAGAAGAGGAGGAUGGAAGGGAGGAAAGUGGCCGAGGCAGAAGAGUGGGAGGAGAGAAGAGGCGGGAAAAAGGCUUCACGAAGGAGAAGAAGACUUCUGGAACUGCAGUUACCUAAAAGUCAAUUUGACAACUGAUGUUGAAAGUUUUCAAAAAUAAAAAAAUAUUUUAUUUAAAGCU